UUGUUUGCAUCUGCUCACGCACUCACGCAGUGGCUCUCCAGUUCUUUUUUUCCUUCUUUCUUUUUCCUUUCUAUCUGUAUUUUCCCCCCUCUUUAUCUGUAUAAGUAUUUAGCUAACUCUCUGUUUCAUAAGACGAAUGGCGUGAAAAAUUUACGAGGAAAAAAAACUAAGAGGUAGGUCAAUAUUCAAAGCAAUUGGGUCUUUUCAUGAAUGAGCAGUGGGUUACCCCUUCAAACCGAACAACUUCGCUUUUGAGGGAGGGGUAGUGCCGCGUGAAAUUGGAAAAAACUUCUGUGUAAUUACCCUUCUGGAGUUUUAGCAUCUCUUUUGUAAUUUCUCUCCAUCAUUGAACGUUGUUCAUAAUUACCCUUUUCCUCUGAUUGGUGAAUAAGUAUUUGAUUCGGUAUUUUUUCUUUGACGGACUGUUGCAGAUUUGAAUAACUACAAUGACAAGUAGAUAAACAUGGUGCUAUAAGUUCACCUUAAAAUGCCUAGAAGCUACUCUUGAAGUGGUAGUACUAUGUGAAUUUAUUGAAGCUAUGAUAAAUAGUAUACUCUACUAAGUUUUCUCAUUUGAUUUUUGUGGUGGUGUCAAAUUUUCUGGAGAUUUGGCUAAUCAGCUUGUGUACACUAUGUUUAGACCAACCCCUUUGCUGUAUAAGUCUGAAAAUAGAGAUGAAGUUAGGGGAGAAACCAUACUAAUUCAAAAAUCGGCCAAUUAGACAGAGUCCAUCACAUGUUUGAUUAUAUGACCAAAAUAAAAAAUCAUUAUAGAAAAUGAUUAAAGCAGAAGAGUUUCAUAUUCCUGUGAUUAUCAUCAGCCUUACUGAGUUCAACUAGCAUUAUUAAGGUAGAUAUUUUUUAAACUCAUUUAGAUUAAUGGACCCAUCCAGAGCUGCUCAACUGAUUCUUUUUUUUUUCUUACUUACUUACUUUUGGGGAUAAGGGUGGACUUAUCUCUUUAGUUGUGUGUAGCUGUGUAUUCACUUUGCCAGUAUGAGUAGGAAAUAAAGGUUCUGAAACCUUCAAUGAGGAAUUUAUUUCAUUAUCCGGUUUUAUAGCUAAUGGUGAGAUUUUCAGCAAUUUCUUUUCAUCAACUUUGUGUCUUUUCCUUUAGUAUCAAUUUAAAGUUCAAUAAUUUACAAGACGAAUCAAGGGGACUCAAAUUUGUCUGUGUUUAAAAUGAUUGUAUUUAUGAGCAUAUGGUUUGGUAUUGAUAUAUAGUUUUUUCUGAUAGACAUAUAAUAUUUGUGUAGUCUUAGUUGUUUUACCGAGCGACAAGUACUAAAUACUAAAUCCAGGAAAAUUUGAGCGACAAAUUAUUUGCAAGGAAACUGCCAAACAUGUGAAGAUAGACUGUUGUCUUCUGAUUAACAUGAGCGAAGAAUUAUUUGCUAGGCAACUACCAAACAUGCAAGGAUAGACUGUUGUCUUCUGAUGGACAGAAAGUAGUAGCACACUUGAAACUUGAAAUUGAAGGCUGAUUUGAAAGAGAAAACAUCUUCAACAUUAAUUUAUUGGAGUGCACUGCAUUGACCAACUCAAGCAAACAUGUUGGUUAAAUGUAUGCUUAAGUUGCUGCAUGUGCCUAGAGGAAGCUGAAGCCAUCGUUCAGUGAAUUAGAUUUUAUCGAGCAAAUGGUGUAUUUACCUUUGCUUCUCAACUAUAGUGCAUGUUUCUAGGAUUAUUUAACUCAAAAGGCUGAUGCCCGGUAUUCUAGAGGAAGUUAUCAUAAGUUGGAUGGGCAAGAAAAGUAAAGAAUAUUUCAGGGACGUGAGAAUACAAUUUUAGCCUGCAUUUUUUAGGUGUUUGGAAUGAAAGAAACAUAGAUGUUUCAGAAAUGAAGAAAAUUCAAUCCACACACUAGAACAUAAAUAUUUGUGCUUUUGUGGUUGUCUUGAACCAAAACGAAAGAUGUAUACAAUAUGAAUAUGAUGUUAACCUCAAUCUUUUAUUAAAUUUAGUAGUACAAUCUCGCAGAAUGAAUUUGUUUUAAACUUAUUUAAACAUAUCUGAAAGAUAAACAAAAUGCACAGCAAUGUGUUGGGAGAUUUGCUAAUGAGGGUGUCCUUCACCUUAAAAGUUUAUCACAUAAUUUGAAAGGAUGAGGUGGAGGACAAUUAUAAGAUGAAUUAAGUAUGAUUAUUUCUCAGCACAUCCUCUACUUAAAAUACAAUUUAUUAUUUGCCUUUUCGAUUUUCUCAUCUUUUCAAUCUCUUUCAUAGUCCUUUUAGCUUCAUCUGCCAUAAAACACGUACUCCUACUCGCCGGCGACAGCAACCAAGCCCAAAAGUAAAUAUUACUGAGAUUUUCGUGUAUGUUUCUCUUAGCUCUUUCCUUCUGUUUUUCUAUCUCUUCUUUCCUAAGUUUCAAGGCCAUACUGAUGGAAUUUGGGUCUACUUCUGAAUUUGAUCCUAAUUAAUUAGUUGCCUUUCGAAUAUAUGUGCAUUCCACUUUCACAUCCCAGAUUUGCAUUCCGUAUACUCUGUUUCUUUUGUUACAUUUUCUAGCCUAAUUUUUUGAUUUUCCUUUCAAAUUUCUCUAAUUUCCUUCAGUGUUUGCUAUAUUUCGUUUGGAGUUUUGCAGAAUUUUUCUUCAGUCUUUCUUUGUUUAUUGCAACCAUGUAUUGGUAAUGGGUAUUUGGUGGGUAUCUCUUAUUCACUACUCUCUGCGAUAAUUUCUUCCAUUUUGUACGUCUGAAUUGCACUUCUUUGUUGGAAAAUUUUCUGCAUAGGUUUAAACACGAUUUGGGCAUAAUUAAUUUCCAUCUAGGACAAAAAUGUUGAAGAAACAAACAAGAUUUCUCAUGCAACCAAGGUGUUUGAUAAUAUGUCUUAAAUACAAGAGCUGUGUUGUUUACUUGAGAGCUGAAUUUGGCAUUUUAGGUAUGUAUUUGUACUGGGUGCUCCUUUUUUAGGUUUCGUUUAAAAGACUAUAUUUGACUUUUGUAUAGGUUAUGGGUAUUUGUUCCCUUUAAUCACAUAUUAACAAGAUUGUCUACUCUUUCUUGACAUACAAUGAUUUGCGUAUAUUAUUAACUUGAGAAACUGCACUUAAAAAAUCAACCAGAAAAAAUCUCAGUAAGAAACUUUACCAUAAGGUGUUAAAUUUGAAAUGUUCAUAUGCAACAUGGCAUUACUAAAGGCUAAAAGUUUGAAAUGGAGAUUUCAAUAAUUGUGCUGGAGAUUUUGUUAAUUAAUGGUUCUAAUGCUAAUUGGCGCUUUUCUUGAUGUUUAUACGGCCAAUUAGUAUCCCUCAAAUUAUGAUUUGUUUUCUUUAGACUAUGUAGCUUUCGAUGCAUGACCCCGAACUAAUAACUGCAUCAGUAAAGGUAGGCCCUCAUGGAGCUUUCCUUCUGGACGAUGAACAAGGCUGAUACAAAUAGAUAGCUUUUUAUGUAUGACUAACCUGGAUGAAAAUAAUUUUUACCCUGACAUUAGUUAUCGGGUCUUGGCUUCUUUUUAAGGCAAUGUUAAUUAGGCUUCAGCAAUGAAGUAUCUUUUGAAAGUUGUCCUUAAUAUGAGUUGGAACUGGUACUUGGCAGGCAUUGCCUGGUUAUCUGUUAUAAAUUCUUUCUUAUUUUUGCAAUACUUUAAUUCUAUUUGUUGUUAUUUAGUGCAAGAUAAACAACUUACCCACAAAAAAUAUAGAAAUUAAAAAAAAAUAAAGUCUCUAGAUCAAGCAUUUGACUUCCCAGAGAUGCCAGAUUGAUGUUGCAAUUAUUUUGUUUCUUUUCUUGAAAGCUUGUAAAGUUAAGUGCCAGAAAAAUGAAUCUUUGAAUUUGUGUAUUUAUACAUAAUGAAAAACUUUGGUUCUAAUACUGAAGCAUGUCAUUUAUAAAUCUUAAUAUGUUUUCUUUAUGCUUUUGUCCAUGGAUAAAUAUUUUCUCUAUAUAUAGUUAGUCACAUUGGAGGAUCUAGAAUUACAUAACAGACUUUGGUUAGCUUUUCAAUUGUGCAGACUAUUUUAUUCUGCUAUUAUUAUUCAUAUGUAUUGUAUUGUGUUAAAUGAUAUAUAUUGCUAGCAUAUUGCAGUUAAAAGGAAAACUAGAAUAUUGGGAUUCUGCUUGGUCGUUUGAAGGAAAAAGCUGUUAUUGCCAAGAUCCAGGUACCUCCUACCAGCCUCAUUUUUAGCUGCACAGUUGCUGCCAUUCCGGAGACUUCAAAGUACAUCUGUCGCGUCCACAUACCUCGGAGUCUCCUUCUACCCCUUCUGAUGUUGCUUCCCUUUAAUUUAUUCUAGUACAGAUGUAUAGAACAAUUGACAGAGAUCUUAGAAGCUUGUGACUUACGGUUUUCGGGUCUUGGGAGAAUUGUGUACAAUUCGAGAGUGAUUAUUGUAUAUGCCGAGCGGCAUCUCAAAUGCUUAUUUAAAUUA